rfam:Schistosoma mansoni strain Puerto Rico chromosome 4, complete genome
GCACUGCUGAGGAGUCCCACAAUAGGACGAAACGGCCGUCAAACGGUGU